AGAUUGAACGCUGGCGGCAGGCCUAACACAUGCAAGUCGAGCGGUAGAGAGGUGCUUGCAUCUCUUGAGAGCGGCGGACGGGUGAGUAAUGCCUAGGAAUCUGCCUAGUGGUGGGGGAUAACGUUCGGAAACGGACGCUAAUACCGCAUACGUCCUACGGGAGAAAGCGGGGGACCUUCGGGCCUCGCGCCAUUAGAUGAGCCUAGGUCGGAUUAGCUAGUUGGUGAGGUAAUGGCUCACCAAGGCGACGAUCCGUAACUGGUCUGAGAGGAUGAUCAGUCACACUGGAACUGAGACAGGUCCAGACUCCUACGGGAGGCAGCAGUGGGGGAAUAUUGGACAAUGGGCGAAAGCCUGAUCAGCCAUGCCGCGUGUGUGAAGAAGGUCUUCGGAUUGUAAAAGCAACUUUAAGUUUGGAGGAAGGGUUUGUAAACCUUAAUACGUUGCAACUUUGAACGUUACCGACAAGAAUAAGCACCGGCUAACUUCGUGCCAGCAAGCCCGUA
rnacentral:rRNA from 1 species